CUGAAUACGAUGGUAACUACAUCGAGUGCAAGCCCCUGAAGCGUUGGACACUUUCAUGUUUUCACCGCGGCUCUCAGAAAGUUUGCGUUGCGUUCAACCGGUCGGUGGGCUUCAUUUAAGCUUUGAACACUACUGAAAGGGGCAUUGCACAAAAGAUAACACCCGUAAAAUUGACUGAAAAAAACGGCCUUGAUUUGCAGUCUGCGUUGUACAUUGUGCUGGAUGCCCCAUUUGACUAUAUAAUUCAGGACAUGGUAGAGCUGAGGAAAUGGUGGUGCAUAAUGUUAAUGGUGAACUUUAGUCUGGACCGGCAUGGAAAAAUGUUUGCCCACUAUACAGAGGAGUCUAAAGUCUUCAUAAGAGGUGAUCAGCAGCCUGUAUUUAGGUUGCAAAAAAGGAAGUUGGACGAAAUCUCUCAGGAAGAGCCUUUUUGACGGACAGGUAACUUCUCAGGGUAGAUGAAACCAAUCUUUUCAUCUGUGAGUUUGCAUCGGAGAAGCAGGUGGUUCAGUCUCCAUCAUCUUGGUUCAUCAUCUUCUGCAUUGUUGUUUCUUAAGAGCGUGUCAUGACGGAUCUUACAAACUGCCAGUCAGUGGUGCUUGGAGAACUCUGGGGAUCUUCUUGGCUCAGUUCAGCUUCCACUUAUAAUGUGCAUGGAGGAUGGAGCAUUGUUUGACAAUGCCAUGAUA